rnacentral:rRNA from 1 species
AUUGAACGCUGGCGGCAGGCUUAACACAUGCAAGUCGAGCGAGCGGCGGACGGGUGAGUAAUGUCUGGGACACUGCCUGAUGGCGGGGUAUAACUACUGGAAACGGUAGCUAAUACCGCAUACCAUCUGAUGUGCCCAGAAGGGACUAGCUUGUAGGUGGGGUAAUGGGUCGCAUAGGCGACGAUCCCUAGCUGGUGUGAGAGGAUGACAAGACAAACUGGAACUGAGACAGGGUCCAGACUACUACGAGAGGCAGCAGUGGGAAAUAUGGCACAAGGGGCGAAAGCCGGAUGAAGCAAGGCCGCGUGAGUGAAGAAGGCCUUCGGGUUGUAAAGCACUUUCAGCGGGGAGGCGGUACUCGCAGCAGAAGAAACGGCUAACUCCGGACCAGCAGCCGCGGUAAUAC